rnacentral:rRNA from 1 species
CCCUUAGAUGUUCUGGGCCGCACACGCGCUACACUGAAGGAGGCAGCGUGUACUCCUGGAUCGAAAGAUUUGGGUAACCCGCGAAUCUCCUUCGUGCUAGGGAUUGAGGUUUGCAAUUAUCCUUCAUGAACGAGGAAUUCCCAGUAAGUGCAAGUCAUAAGCUUGCGCUGACUACGUCCCUGCCCUUUGUACACACCGCCCGUCGCUCCUACCGAUUGAAUGAUCCGGUGAGGCCCCCGGAUUGUGGCAAUGGCUCUGGUUCGCCAGACCAAUGCUGCGAGAAGCUGUCCAAACCUUAUCAUUUAGAGGAAGGAGAANUCGUAACA